rnacentral:lncRNA from 1 species
AUGCACUCCCGGCGUGGACGGCGCCAUCGACUGUCACCAGGGCCAGUGCCUCGUGCAGAGGAGCGGUCCUGCUUGCCGCUGCUUCUCCACGGACACGCACUGGUUCUCGGGCCCGCGCUGCGAGGUGGCCGUCGCCUGGAGGGCAGUGGUCGGCGGCAUGGUGGGGGUCGUGGUUCUGCCGCUGCUGCUGCUGGCGUCCCUGAGCCUCUUUGUUGCCCGCUCCCGCUCCCGGAGAGGUGGCCAAGGUGGNAGACACGCACUGGUUCUCGGCCCGCGCUGCGAGGUGGCCGUCGCCUGGAGGGCAGUGGUCGGCGGCAUGGUGGGGGUCGUGGUUCUGCCGCUGCUGCUGCUGGCGUCCCUGAGCCUCUUUGUUGCCCGCUCCCGCUCCCGGAGAGGUGGCCAAGGUGGAGGCCGGUGAGAGCGCUGGGGGUGGGGGUGAGGGUGGCAAAGGGGUCCCAGCUGGGGCGGCCCUGCUCUGACGGUGCGGUGCGUCGCCCGGCCUCAGGUCCUGGGACGAUGACAGGAGAUGGUUCGAGAUCUGGGAUGAGGAAACUGUGGGAACUUUUUCAAACUUGGGCUUGGAGGACGACUGAACGGGCUUGUUGGUUCUUGCCUUGGAGAGCGGCCGUGCUUUUCCUUUGCUCAGCUUCUAGGGGGCAUCCCUGACCCUGGAGGUCGACUUUGGGAAGGACAGCCUCACCUCCCUGCCACGUCCUUUGGGGACACCAUUGCCAGUCCUGGGCCUGGAGGGGUCCGAAGCUCUUCACCUGGGGCGCUGCUCGGGGCACUGUUUGCUCGUCCCUUCCAGGAGUGAGUGCACUCCUUGAGCGCAGAAAGGGUUGGGAGGUGCGGCGGAGCCUCUACCUGGGGGCUCCCUCUUCGCCAGUGAGCGGGCAGAGCAGCCGGAGCGAGGAGAAGGAUAGAUAGGGCGCGGUGGUAUCUUGGAACCUGAAGGACACGACAGAUUCCCUAGGUGGGAGGGCAGCCGGGUGAGGUGGACAGGAGCUCAUCGGUGUGUCCGGAGAGGCAGCCGAAGCCAUCCUUAAAACAUGGAUGUGGAUGUUUUAAGGACAGAUUGAAUGGCGACUAAGUGACGUAAGUGAUACGAAUCCAGGAACAAAGAUGAAAAACAGCAGGAUGCCCAGAGUCCAUUCCACUGAGUGUCCCAGCCUGUGUUGGGGUCCCAGUUGGCCCACCAUGUCCCUGCGGUGUCCUCUUCAAUCUCUCUGCCUCUACCCUUGCUACCCCUUCACUCCAGGGCUCUCUCCCCCUCCCCCUCCCCCUCCUCCUUUUUCUUCUUUUAGGGCUCUCUGCUUCUAAGGCACAGUUGGGACCAUGGCCUUUUCUGGACGUUCUUCACUGCCGCUCAGCCGAGUCCAGAGCUGGCCUUACACCUGCUUCACUAGCCUUCCCUCUGCCCCACUUGUCUCUCUACCCUGAACAUGGAGAGAAUUCACCGUCGGAACUGCAGUGAAUGUGUGAGACAGAAACAGUAAUGCCUGCCUCACGGGAAAACAUUAAAACAUUAGGAAAAA